AAAUGCGAUAAGUAAUGUGAAUUGCAGAAUUCAGUGAAUCAUCGAAUCUUUGAACGCACAUUGCGCCCCCUGGUAUUCCGGGGGGCAUGCCCGUUCGAGCGUCAUUUCACCACUCAAGCCUCGCUUGGUAUUGGGCGACGCGGUCCGCCGCGCGCCUCAAAUCGACCGGCUGGGUCUUUCGUCCCCUCAGCGUUGUGGAAACUAUUCGCUAAAGGGUGCCGCGGGAGGCCACGCCGUAAAACAACCCCAUUUCUAAGGUUGACCUCGGAUCAGGUAGGGAUACCCGCUGAACUUAAGC
rnacentral:misc_RNA from 1 species